CAGGGUCUUGCUCUGUUGCCCAGGCUGAAGUGCAGUAGCAUGAUCUUGGCUCAAGUCAACCUCCACCUCCCGAGUUCAAGCAAUCCUCCCAUUUCAGCCUCCUGAGUAGCUGAUACCACAGCAGGCAGAAGGGAAGAUGAGUUCGUUUUCAAAAAUACCAACGUUGAAACUCUGCACAAGUUUGUUAUUUAUUUAUUCCCAGAGAGAGAGACACCUUCCCAUUGUAAAGCAUUCCAGAAUUCCUUCCUCUGAGAGCGGGACAGGAUCCUCUCUAGAAUGUUGAUCUUAUGACCUACAGUCAAACAAGGCAUUUCGUAAGUUUCUUUUUCUUUGGAGUCUGGUACUGGAGAAUUGUGUUCAUUUAGAGACGGCCCUUAUCAGAUGUAGACCCUCAGUCUUGGACUUCUCAGCCUCCAGAAUUAUGAGCCAAAUAAAUUUAUUUUCAUUAUAAAUUACUCAGUCUGUGGUAUUUUUUUACAGCAGUACACAAUAGAUUAAGACAAUGGAAUACUGUAUAUGCCCCGAAAGUUGUUUUUCCUAUUUUCUCUUUCAGGAAAUGUAAAUAAUUGCAUAUGCUCUAUUAAAUGUCAAAUGACUAUGUCCCAUAUUUGUUUAUAGAAAAUAUUUUUAACCCAUCACUCUGAGCAAAACUUACAAAGUGCUGAAAUAUUUUGAAGUGAAAUGGAAACUUACUUUCAUAUUAUGGCAUCUUGACAAUUUGUUAGUUCCAAAUUCUAGCAAACAUUUUUUUCCUUCUAAGAUUGAGAUGUUCUAUUAGCAACACUUCAGGAAGGGAGAACCUGUGACUUUCCUCUAUUUUGUUGGUAAUUAUAAGCAGGAGGCAGUCACAGCUCAACUACGUGUUGUAGGUGUGUGCUUGGUUUGGGAAGGAGGUUUACUUUGAGGAGAAAAACUAACCUAUUAUCUAUGGAGUAAGAAAAUGCCAGCCAGCGCAAAUCUAAAAGUUUUUCAAUUAAGCCAAGUAAUUAGAUUUUGGAAUGUAGCCAGUGAACUUCCACUAAACAAUCUAAAUUGUGAAACUCAAUGCCACUUCCAAAAAGGUUGUGUAAGAAUUAUAAAUAAAAGUGAAACGGAAUAGAAAAUGUCCAACGCAUGCACUUAUGACAAAUGUGCUCCAGGACCGAAAACAGAAAAAUAUGCUUUCCAAGUUUCUCACAGCAUAAUGUGUCCUAAUGAAUUUUACAUGGGAAUUAAAUGUAUGAAAGCAGUACACUGAAUGAGCAUAGUUUUCAUAAACAUAACCAAGCCUCUCUAAAAUGGAAUUCUCUUUACCCACUAUAAUAUUGCAUACCACUGUAUGACAGAAUGUAGACUCCACAAAAUGAAUGCCAUUGUCUUUUUGAAUAGUAUGUUUGCAGUCAUAAAAAUAAAAUCAGUCUUUUUAUUAGGUUAGGUUACAAAUCAAAAUUGAAAAAUUAUCAGUAAGAAAUAGUAUUUUUAAUAGGGGUUAAAUACAAACUUUGAUGUGCUUUUCAGAUAGUCUAAUUUAACUCUCAUUACAUCUCUAAGAAGUAAAAUACUGAACAUGUUAUAUUUAAAUCACGAAUUAAAAUAAGAGCUAUUUUAAAAAAAUCUUUUCUAAAACUUAACUUUGGAAUCAUCUCACGCUGCUUGUUCUUUCAUUUUUACCUGCACUCUUUUAUAUCUUUUUGCAUUUACUUUUUGUCUUGUUUUAGAAGAGAACAUAAGAAUGUCAAAGUGGUGUGUAUAUAUUUAAUCGACCUCCUGCUGCAAAUACCUAACAUUGUGGAGCUUUAUGCUAUGAAAUAGAAUAUUGACAAUGAUGAAAACUAUUAGACAAAAUAAAACCAUAUGUAUUUUUAUAGCCCAGAAAUCUCUGUCAUGAUGGAAUAUAAGUGCUGCCUACGCAUUUAUGAGGACAUAUGAGACCAUUAAAAUGAAAACAUCUCUUAAUCAUGAAAGACAGCUCUUCAAAUACCCCAUGCUUAUGAAUAAUGGAUUGUUAGAGGUUACAAACAAUGUCUAGUGUUCCCUAACCCGCUUCCCACAGACACAUAAUCAUCUGGAAGACGCCCUAUUAUUUUUCUGAGUAUCUCUCAGGAACAGGAAAGAUGGUUCAGAGCCAGAAGUACAUAGAGUGACAAUGUAAGAUGGUACCUUAUGCUUACACAGAGUUUUAGUCAAGAUAUGGGAAGUUAGAGGAAUUAGAUGAUAUGUAUUUUUUUUUUACAAUGCUGUGAAACAUGCCUUUGCACUCUGAAGUGCAAAAAUGAAAAAUAGAAUAGAAAAAGUAUAAAAGCUUGAAACAUAGCUAUUGUAAAUAUAAUAGCAAAAUGUUUUAUUUUUCUUGAUAAAAAGACAAUGAGAAUCUGCCACGGAGCUCCGAAACAAAGUUGAUUUUGCAUGAUGUAUAUACGCAAGAUUGACAACUCAGAGUUCUAUAUGAGCUAAAGAAAUAGAGGGGAAAAAAGGCUAUUCAUUCCUCGCAAGUUACUCUGCCUACCCUUUUUAUCUGAUCUCCAUUUGAAGACAGAUAGUUAUAAGAGUAUGAAACUUCUCUAUAGAGAACUCUCAAGUGAACUCACUAUGUCCUGAAAAUAGCUGAAUGUUCUAGUAUCUCAUCACUAACCCUGGAUUCUUUGGUUCCCAACUGUCCAUCGAUUUAUUAUUACUGAGAACUAAUGUAUUAUUAUUGAGAAUCAGGAUGCCUUCUCCCACAACAAUACUACAAAUCUCUGGCCUUUGUUACUUAUGAACUGCAAGGUCUGGAAGCCAAGAAGUUCAUGGCAAGUCCCAGGUCAGGACCAUAGACUGUGGACCACAUCUAUCAGUAAGAAGAGUCUUAGUACAGAAUUACCUCCUUUGUUCAGCAGGAAAGGAUGGCAAAUUGGAGGAAUUCACAUUCAGCAGCCGAGUUUGUUCUGACACUGUGAGCCUCUACUUUUUCUAAAAAGUCGAAAAAAUUUUGACACCACUUGGAGUCAAAAUACCUAUGCUUACAUAUCAACAAUAGGACUCACUGCUUGUGUAACUUGGGGAUCUCAAUGGUAAGUACUGCUCCUAAAAUGAGGAAGUUAGUUCAGUGAGAUCUAAUUCAGGUAUUAGAUUAUUGGUGAGAAUUUAUUUUAUUUUAUUUUAUUUUUGAAACGGAGUUUCGCUCUUGUCGCCCAGGCUGGAGUGCAAUGGCAGAAUCUCAGCUCACUGCAACCUCCACCUCCCUGUUCAAGUGAUUCUCCUGCCUUAGCCUUCUGAGUAGCUGGGGAUUAUAGGCAUGUGCCACCACACCUGGCUACUUUUUGUAUUGUCAGUAGAGACAAGGUUUUGCCAUGUUGGCCAGGAUGGUCUCAAACUCCAGAUUGCAACAAUUUUCUCCCAUUCUGUAGGUUGCCUGUUCACU
rnacentral:lncRNA from 1 species